GCAGCCCGAGUCAUAGGUUGGAUUUAGCUUGAGUUUGGAUCAUAUUGGAGAGCGUUUGAGGUACGGACGCACAGCCUGGUGAUCCACCUGUUUAGGACACCCUUUCUGCUAUUCGGAGUGCUCCUCUCUUUCCGGAGCUUAUACUUUUG